UAAUAAACAAAAGAAAAAAAAAAGUAACAAGGAAUCCAAUAAAUAACCUUGUGAUAGUAAAGCAAAUUACACUUGCAUAAUAAUGAAUUAAAACAAAAUAAAGAAGAAUCCAAACCUUUGUGAAAUAGCCUCUAUAACCCCAUUAACAUAUUGUUUUAAAAAAUAUAUCAUAAGACUACAUGAAUUAUGAAAUAUUGAAGACUUAGAGAGAGACAGAGAGGCAUCAGAAAAAAGUUCAGCCUAAAGAAAAUGGUAAAUUUAAAUAAGGACAAAAAAAAAUGCUGGAGUAGCUCAACCACUAAAGGUGCAUUUAGCAACAAAAAAAGCAAAAAAGAAAAGAACAGAAAAGAAUUUGAAUCUUGUGCACCACCAAAAAAGUCUAAAUAGCAUACUGAGAUCUAAACCGAAUUGAAAGUAUAGCAAAUAUUACAAGACAAGCAAAUUCCUUUGAAAUAAUCCAAUUUGAACCCAGAGAGAGAGAGAGAGAGA
rnacentral:misc_RNA from 1 species